AUGGCAUUACCUGUAAUAUUCCUUGGAAGUGGGUAUGCAAUGAAGUAGAAAAUAUAUGGCCUGCCUAAUAUCAGUCUAUUAAUUUUUAUAUGUACUAACACUCUAUGAACAUGGUAUGAGACUCUGUUAGGAAAAGUUGCUCUAUAUUGUAUUGUAAAAUAUUUUUAUGUGAAUGCAUUAGUCUAAUUUAUGCUGGUAUAGUGAAUAAAGGAGGGGCAGCAAGGGUCUGUGCUUUUCAGGUUGGAAAAUGAAGAAGUCUGUGAUGGUGGAAGAGCUUGAGGAGGGGAGGAUGGAUCCUGUGGUCAAUGAAUGCUUGCACAGCUGGUGUUGGCAGCUGGGGUUUGGCUUUUAUGGCCACAGGACCAUCUUUGAGUGUUAAGGACUGUUAGGAAGAGAUAGGAUUCACCCAGUGAAAACUUUAAUCUAGGAAUGGACAGGAGAGAGCUGGUGACAAACAGCCAAAUAAGGAAAUAGGGGACCAGACUGGUAAGCAAGGGAUGCAGCGUGAUGUGGACAAGAGAGACAUCAGAAAUAAUACACAGGAUUGAUGGGUGUCCUCCUAAAGCAUACGCACUUAAAUGAUGAGGUGCCAAGAGGACAGCAUUGCAAAGGAAGCUCUCCCGCUUUUCCUGGAAAAUCAACACAACUGGGUGCCUCUUUGAAAUGCCUGUACGCCAAUACAGGCAGCAUGGGGAACAAACCAGAGGGAUUAGAGGUCUGUGUGCAGUUGCAGGGCUAUAGUCUUAUCGGGAUCAUGGAGGCAGUGGUGGGAUAGCUCACAUGAGUGGGGUGCUGCCAUGGAUGGAUAGAGCCUUUUUAGGAAGGACAGGAUGGGAAGGUGAGCAGGGGGAGUCAUGGGUUAUUUUGUUAGCAGUGGGAAGGUAUGGAGCUCUGCCUAGGGACGGGUGAUGAGCCAGGGGAGAACUAACAGGCUAGGAUUAGAGAGCAGCCAGUGUGGGUGAUGCUGUGUUGGGUGUCAGCUACAGACACAUGAAUGAUGGGUAGAACAUCUAGAAGCAACCAUAACUAAAAUUACUUGAACUUAUCAUUUUUAAAGCUUUUUCCACUUCCUUCCAAUUUGGGAGUGACAUUUUUCAAGCCUGAACUCUUCUGAAAAGUAUUUUUGGAAAAUCUGAACCAAAACAGUUUAGCCAUCUUUGCGUAAAAUGACGGCUAUGAAAGUAUUCAUUUGCUGUGACACAUUUUUGGCAGAGAGCUGUUGAACAGCUUUAGGGCCUCAUUGGAAAUGUCCAAAAGUGUUUUUAAAAUCACUGUAUAAUUAUUAUGGUUAUAAUAAUGCUUAGUGACUCUGCCCAGUGAUCAGAGACUUGAAGCACUAGAUAGUGUGCAAGUGGCAAUGAAAAGCCAGUGCUAGCCCUCAAGGACUUGUAAGAGAAUUUGCCAGCAACAAUGGCUGCGUAUCUGCAUAUCCAGGGGUGAGCACAACACGGCAAUGAAAAUGUUACAGAGUUGGCAAAAAAAUACAGAGAUUUAAUUGGAUGCGGGUCCACAUUGCUGCUAGCAUUUGGUGCACUGUGUGGAAGAACUGAAAGGAAGGGGGACUGCCAUCCCCCUUGUCGCUGGACAGAGGCUGCAGCAAUCACAGCACUGCAAUCCUCAAGCUCAGUUGCCUGGUCUCUCCGCUUCAGCCUGUGAAUGAGAAUUAUUCAGGGGAGGAAGACAGUAUUGCAAAAAAAUCAGCUUUAAUGUGAAAGGUGUUUGGGGGCAAUUGUCAUCACUGGUGAUGCUGACAGCCCAGGCGUAGGGAAGUACUCAGCAUUUGAGCAAUAAGGUGGACUAUCUGCAAGUAAAGUUUAAAAAUUGCCAGGAGAUGGGAAUAAUUAUGUCGCACUUCCCACUCCCAUUUUGAUCUUGUUACACAAGCGUGAGUGAAUGUGAAAUUAGAUCCUCUCCUUAUAGAAACAUUCCAGAUUAGUUUCACUUGAUAGGUUUUUGGUUCCGUUAACUAGAGCUACAUUUGGCCCAAACUUUUGAAGUUUGACUUUGUUAAACUAUUUCUAAUGGUCAUACCUCAUGAAUUCUCCGUUCACAUUUUGUGUCUAUACAAUAAAGCUGUGCCUCCUGAAGACAUGAAUGUGGAGGUGUUUCAUAUUUGUGGGGAACGCAGUGUUCCCUGAAGCUGUUCAUCUUGGAUCCGUGCUGUCCAUGGCACCCCGUGAUCAAAAGCUAUGAAAUGCUACUCCUGGAAAAUGUCGUUAAUGUUGAGUUGAGACAGGUGAACGUUCUUUCUUGAGGCUUUUGGAUUAAAAAAUUUCAGAUAUUUUUCAGUCAACUGUUUGUUUCAUGGAAAAAAAUAGAAUUGAACCUGUAAAAAUCUAACAUCAUGUAACCUUUCAAUUAAUAUACUGCUGAAUUAGAAGAAUAAGAAAAGCCUUUAUUUAUUGCUGCCUUUCCCCCAAGCUAUUCUUUUUUAGUUGCAUUAAAAUGGAAUAUAUUUGGGCAUAAAAGAUGACAGCUCCUUUUCAUGGCCUUUUACUGUAUUUUUGCUGUGGCUGGUCAGAUGCUUUUAUCUAAAGCUUUGUUCUUUACAGUGGAAAAAAUUUCAGAGGAUUUGGGAGUGACAGAGCUUUCAGAGAAUAUAAAAUUUUCACACAAUACUUAGUGCUGAUGUGAAAAUGGGAUUUCAUGACGGCAGAGCUCCAUGCGUUGCUGAAACUCUUGUUGACAGUGAUGGACUUCAGGGUUCAUGAUGCAGCUCAGCAAACAUGCCCAUCCUUUUGCGCUUCACUCUGCGGCACAGGUACUAGUUGUAGUAGGGGUGGUGGGUAAUUCUCCUGUCUCCUGAGUAGCAGCCUGCACCCAUAGUAGCAGCUCCAAUGUGAUUCCCAUGCCAGGACUUUGGCAAGUCACUGUUACAACGGGAGGCUGGUCUGGGCUUCUGGGGCUGCCCUUGCUGGGUCAUGCUGGGACACAGCUGGAUGGAAGCAGAGGGUCUGGCAUGUUGCUGGGAACUGGAGGUACAUGAAAAAUGGAUUGGCUGAAAGAACAUCUCUGAACCGUGCUUGGGCAGGGAAGACAUGUAGGACUUGCUGGCAUGGUGAAAAUGCAAAGUGUAGCCCAAGAUGGAUAGGAGCAGGAGAACUUUUAUUAUGAUCAAGUGACAGCUGAUAGUUCAAGGAGAAGAUCAGGAAUAAGAACAGAGGUAUAGUGUUUGAUUCAACUGUUCUUGUAGCUGUUUUUAAAUAGGACCAAAGCAGAAAAUAAUCCUUGGCUACUCUGGUCUGUGGCAUUGGCUGGUCUUCCAGCAGGCAGGGCAGAGAGUCACCCGAGGCAGCCAGAUGCGGAGAGAGACAGCUGGGACUGCCAUGGUGGGGUGGGCAGGGCGCAUGUUCUGCAGCUGCCUUCUGCAGAGCCAGCCCUGGUCGUGGGGCUACAACCUCGUCAUCUGCCAGUGCCGAUACUAAGUACUUGAAAUUUUCCCCUCAAGAAUCAGGAAUCAUCUUUAAUGCUAAGUAACUACAAAAUUGUGAAAUUGGAGGUAGUAAGGGCCUAUUACGUGAGGCACACUCCUCUGCCUGCAGGGGAUUGUUCAGGGGGAACUAGACGAUUUGAAAAUGGGAACUCAACCAAUUAUUCACCUAAUAGUUUCAGUUCAUCCACUUCUGCCACUGAGAUAUGUCAUCUUUCUUUGUAAGCAGCAUGAAUGGAUUAUCAAGUUUCAUUUUCAAAUCAUCUGCAAGGCAGAUUUAUGUAGAGGCUUUGUAUCUCUUAGCAAAUUGGGAAAUGUAAGCCUCUUGCCACACCGUGACUGAACAUUCUCAAGGAAGAAAUACAAAUAUCCCGGGUGUAAUUCCGCGGGGAGCUCGUUUCACGGCACGCAACCUUCAGCCGGGGUGCGGAGUUGCUGUCAGGAGCCGUGCCGCGUUCCGCCUGAUUAGGGCUCUGCUGAGCUCAACCAUUCUCCCCGCGAGUGCGGGGCGGCGGCGGGGCCGCGUUCGGUGCUGCCCCGUGCCCCCGCCCAGCCGCCCGGGGGUCCCUCUGGGCCGCGGCGGCCGCCCGUUGUACCCUCGUUGCCAGCGGUGAAGCCGCUCAGGGAAGUGCGGCCUGAGGCGGGGCCGGGGCGGCGGGGCCGGCGGGCCGCAGCCAGCCGUGCUGCACGCAGGUGCGCCCGCGGCAGCCCCGGCGGCACCCUGGGCCGCGGCGGGGGGACCCGUACGUACGUGCGGGGCCGGGCCCCGGGCGGCCCCCGGCGGGCAGCGCGCGGCAGGUGGCGCCCGCGAGCCGCGCGGGGCCCGCGCCGCCCCUCGCCCCCCCGCCGCCCGCGCGGGCCCGCACGUGGCGCGCGCCCCGGUGAAAAGCCGCCAGCCGCCCCGCGCCCGCCACUGGCGCCGGCAGCGCCCGCCCCGCUCCCGCCGCCCCGCUCCCGCCGCCCCGCUCGGCUCCCGCCGCUGCGGCGGGGCCCGGCCCGCCCUGCCCCCGCCAUGGUGCGCUGGCUCGGGGCUCGGCAUCCUCCGCCCCGCGCGGCGCGCCGGCAGCCCGCAGCACAGGGGCGGCGAUUACCGUGAGAGGCAGCGCGCCCGGCAGCCCCGGCGCGGCGCGGGGGACGAGGCGCACCCUGCUACCGCCGACCUGUUGAAGGAGCCGGGCUCCCUGGCGUUUCCUUUGUCUUGGUCUUUUUUCAUUUUUCUUUUUUUUUUUUUUUCUUCUCGGCGGGGGAAGUUUGCUCCCCAGACUGUGGCCCGGCUUCCUCCACACCCUUUCCUCCUCUUCCUCUUUUUUUCCAGGAUCCGCUGCCGGGGGCCAGAAGUGAUUGGUCCCCGGUAACCCCCCGGCCGGCCCGGCCGCCGCCAGCGCUGGAGCCGGGGGCACCCCCGGCCUCCCGCAGCAGCCACCCGCGGGCCCCGGCCUUGCCCGCUCCCCUGCGCACGGCGGGGCGGCCCCGGGAGGGCUGUGGUCCCCGGGCUGCCGCGCCGCCACCAUGGCCAAAGUGGCGGCGGAAAGUUGCGGGGCGGCGCCGGCCGAGGACUUGUCCAAGGUGUCGGACGAGGAGCUGCUCAAGUGGAGCAAGGAGGAGCUGAUCCGCAGCCUCCGCCGCGCCGAGGCCGAGAAGAUGAGCGCGAUGCUGGACCACAGCAACCUCAUCCGCGAGGUGAACCGCCGCCUCCAGCUCCACCUCGGCGAAAUCCGAGGCUUGAAGGAUAUCAACCAGAAGCUGCAGGAAGAUAACCAGGAACUGAGAGACCUUUGCUGCUUUCUGGAUGAUGACAGGCAGAAAGGCAAGAAGGUGUCCCGUGAAUGGCAGAGACUGGGCAGAUACAGUGCUAGUGUUAUGCACAAAGAGGUUGCUUUAUACUUGCAAAAGCUGAAAGAACUGGAAGUGAGGCAAGAAGAAGUGGUUAAGGAGAACCUGGAGCUGAAGGAAUUGUGUGUGUUGCUGGAUGAGGAGAAAAGUGGCGGAGCAGGCAGCCGGAGCUCUAUUGACAGCCAAAUCAGCCUGUGCCAGUUAACUGCGACGAGUACUUACAUAAGAGAUGUCGGUGAUGGGAGUAGUACUUCUAGCACGGGAAGUACAGACAGUCCAGACCACCAUAAACAUCAUCCAAGUACAAGUCCAGAACAUCUUCAAAAAGCUCGUGGUGAAGGAAGCCCUGAGCAUCAGAAACACAGGAGUAUCAGCCCAGAGCACCUGCAGAAGCCUAGGAGUUCUGGCAGUCCUGAUCAUCACCUGAAAGGACCGAGUCCAGAACAUCACAAAACCAUUGUCAAAGCACCUGAACAACAAAAGCACAGCAGCAGCAGUCCAGAAACUAUCCCAAAGCACGUUUUGAGCAGUAGCCCUGAACACUUUCAAAAGCAGAGGCCUGGUAGUAGCCCUGAGCAUCAAAAGCACAGCAGUGGCAGCCCAGAUCAUCUUCAAAAGCACACGCCGAGUGGAAGUACGGAACAUCUCCACAAAGUGAGGGGUACGAGCCCUGAGCAUCUCAAACAACACUAUGGAGGGAGCCCAGAGCAUCUCAAACAUCUCAGUGGAGGCAGCAGAGAAGGUACCCUCAGGAGACAAGUAACAGAUGACCUGUCACCUCACCACAGAAGUAUAUACAACGGAAUGAAUGAAUCAACCUUGUCCUAUGUUAGGCAGCUGGAGGCAAGAGUAAGACAGCUGGAGGAGGAAAAUCGCAUGCUGCCCCAGGGCACUGAAUAAAUGAAGCCUGUGUGGGGGAGAUAGCAGCAGCUCCACCGCGUGAAAGUGGACACGCAGAAGUACUGGGACCUGUUCUGGUGCCUCAAAGCUGGGUCCAAGAAGCAGUCAGAGCCUGGCCUGUUUCUGCAUGCAGCAGGGAGCAGCAAUCUGUACUGGUAGAAGAAUGACAUCUACCAUAAUUUAUUAUGAAUACCCACAACAAAGUUGGAUGAAGAAGCAACUGAAUCUCAUUAAGAUCCUUGCAGUUGUUUUGUAAAUGCAACGAUCUAAAUAAUUCAUAAGAGCGGAGACGCCAGCUGUCGGUGCCACAACCAGCAUUUUGACCAGUGGCCUCACAGAGAUGCCAAUAUGAAUCAGCAGAAUCUUUUCAACCGGACUUCUGCAUAACUUCAUCUCACUCGACACGCAGCCUUGUGAAGGACCAGAUCUACUUCCUUGCUGGCAUCCACUGUGGGAGCAGCAUUGAUGGGGAAGAAAAAACUUAUCAUCAUCCACCAAUGACUCUUCAGUGAAAGGUGCUGGCUGGAGUCUCCCGGCAAGUGGCUUCUGGAAGGCCUCAGGGUACCAGUUCUGGGCUGAACACAGUGCUCCAGUAAGCAGCAUCCCACCACAGGUGUGUCUGGAGUGAAAAGCCUUACCCAGCCACAAUGAAGAACACCUUGACUGGCAUACACGGAUCCAGCCUGCCUUGCUGAGACACUGUGUGGGGAACUGAGAAGCAUCACACACUCUUCUGAGACACACAAAAAAAGACUGAAAAUGCACCAAAACCUUUUUUGUGUGAAGACUUGGAGAAGAUCUUCUGUGACUGCAGGAGGACCCCGUUUGGAUGCAGGGUACCAGCAAGUUCUACCUGCAGAAGCAGGUAUGGAACCCAAGAGUGCCGAGGCCUGUAUGUCACCAGUGCUCUGGGACACAUUUAGCACAAGAUUUUCAGCAUUUUCAAGCUGUGAACGCAGUCCAGGUCAGUAACAAAAGCUUCUCAAAGCUCUCACCAAAUCAAGGUGCUGGGAUUGCCACCUGAGAGCAGACAUCAGAAACAUUCAUUUUCAGUCCAGCACAGAACAAACCCAAGGUGCUGGCACCAGCAAUACCUGCAAAACAAAAACGGUCCUUUCUGGUCCUAGUGUGUAGUCCCUUAGGGGCACGGAUGGGUGCUUCCCCCUUUUCAUGGUGCAAGUUGAUUUUUGUGUCAAUUCUUUAGAAGUGCUAAAUUCUGCUGUUGGCACAGCAAGGAGAGCAGCAUAAUUUCCCAGGCCAUCUUAGCCCUGAACUGUUACCUGGAGUGCUGGGGCUAAUGAAACAUCUGGCGCACAAAUGCCUUACCCUGAGGCCGGGCAGUGCCUACAGACUGGAAGUGUCCUCACCAGCUGGCUCCUACCAGCUGGCUGCCCUUUCCCGGCAGAAGAAACUAUGUUUAGCACUAAGAGGCAAACAUAUGGAUUGGCCACUGCACUGCUGUAUCCUAAAGCAAGGGCAGAAACUGUCUAUAAAUGCUUCAAGUUAUCAGUCAGGGUGAGCUGAAAGGGAAAAAAAAAAAAAGUUUCUUUCGAAAGCAGUGCAGAACAGACGGUGUAGCUCACACUGCUUCAGCUGUGAGGUAAGUUGCACUGGGCCCUACAUCACCUCUGAAUAAGUGGUAGUGUCCAGCUCGCCUAAAUACUUCCAUUUUGGGAAAAAAUACUGCUCUUGGUCUGUUGGGGCCUCACAGAGGGGCUGCCAGCAGCGCUGGCUCGCAGAGAUGCACACACUGACUUCAGUCAGUGGUAUUACACCAUCUCUGAGUUUGGCCUUUGCUUCCAGGACUUUGUAUGGCAGCAUCUCUUUGUUUCAGAAAGAGCAUUCCUCAUAAAUCAGUUCUCUCCUAAAGGACCCAGGAAAAAUACAAUAUCUCAAUUAAACAAAAGUGGUUUUCUGCAGAUCUAUCACUCCAAAUGGAACAGAUCAAUGUACGUCCUGUAAUUCAGAAAAGGCAUUCAAACCUGUUUCAUCUAGAUUCAAACCCUAUUCCUCCUGCCAGUGUCAUUUUCAAUUUAUGGCUGGGGAAAAGCAGGAGGGGGGUGUGUGUGUUGCAAUUAACUAUUACUGACUGGUUACCCACGUUCUUUUCUCCUUGUUUAUCUCACACGAACGAUGUUAGGGAUCUGAUGCAAACAGAUCCAUUCCAGAAACGCUGGAAUGCUGCAGAAAACAGUGGGGUGUUGAUAAAUGCCCAGGUUGGGGUUUUUUUUUUUUUUCCUUCUUCGUAAGUCAGGCUGGUACGAAGAUGGAAGAAGGAAAAGAUAAACAUAUAGAACAUGAUUUCAGAGAGCAGGUGGAUGGAUAAUUCUCAACACAGAUUGUAAACCCCUGUGCCAUUUUAAUGUGUCAUUAUAGUAAUGGGAGAUUUAUGCUAGCACUACUUGCUGCUUUUUUGCCAAAAGCACACAUUGCCUAAAUUGAGACUAUUGAUGUAGUGCUCUCAUCAUUUAAGGUGCAUUAGAGACACUGUAAGAGGAGAAAUGUGGAGAGGGAUGUUGGGAUGCUAUUAGUGAGUUGCAUAUGAAAUUAAAUGGGAAAUGAGCAAAAGGCCAUCUCAUUGUAGCACAAAACUUCUGUCUCUGCAUGAAAAUAAAAUCCUUCUUACUCCAUUUGCACUUUGUAUGUUGGUAAUUUGCACAGCACUGACUGGUAUUACUCAUUCGGCAUGGCUAAUAUUAUUUAGAGCAUUUUGAAAAAGGCAAUUUAAUUGCCUGAAGAUGCCAUAAUCCCUCUACUAAACAUCCCCUAAAUGGAGACCCAAACAGCAUGAACAGUGCAAUAUUCUGGUGAUGGCCUGUGCCAUCAGCUUUGUCCAGGAAAACUUCAUAUUUAUAUAUUUUUUUAUAGAUAUAUUUAACAUAAAAUUUAUAUAUACAUAAAUACAAAGACGGAUGAAAGUAAGGUAGGACAGAUGGAAAGAUGAAUGGAGGAGACUGAAAGACAGACAAAGGCUGAAGGAAGAACAAACAGAAGGUAGGUUGGAAGAACAGAGAGAUGGAAAGAAGGACAGAUGGGAUGGAUGGAUGGAUGAAGAAGGACAGAAGGAUGCAUGGAGGUAUUGAUGGAUGCGAGGAUGGAAGGAAGGACAGAAAAAAUGGAAGUAAUACUGGUAGAAGAGAGGAACAGAAGGGUGGGCUGGAAGGAAAAGGAAGGGAGGAUAGAGAGGAGAGGAUAGAAGGAAGAAUUGAAGGGCAGAAAAAAGGAAGGACAGAAGGAGGGAAGAACAGAAAAGGACAUCAAGUAUGGACAGAAAGAGGGAAGGCAGAAUAUGUGGAAGGACAGAUGGGAAGGUGGAUUAAAAGAUGGAAGAGGAGAUAGGAGGACAGAAGGAUGGAAGGAAGGACAGUGAUGGAAAGACAGACAAAUGGGAGGAAGGACAGAAGGAGGGAACAAUGGAAGGUUGGAAGGAGGGACAGGAGGAGGAAAGGGAGGAUGGAGAGUGGAGGGAAGGACAGAAAAAUGGAAGGCGAGUACAACAGAAGGAAAGGACAGAUUGAAGGAAGGAUUGAAGCAAGAAAGGCCAGAUGAAAUGAAAGGCAUGUACAAAAGGAAUUAAGGACGGGUGGAAGGACAGAAUAGAUGGAUGGAAGGGUGGAAAGAGUGGAGCAAAGAUGGAAGGAGGGAAGGAUGGAUGGACAGGAGGGAAGGAAGAAGGAAGGACAGGUAGAAGAACAGAAGGAGGGAUGAAAGGAUGGCUGGAAGCAGGGAAGAAAGGAAAGAAAAAUAGGAAAAGAAAAAUGAAAGAAGGGGAGAUGAAGACUGCUGUUCAGUGGGUUUGUCAGCCCUGUACGUCCUGCAUCCCUCCAGUCUAAUGACAGCAUGGGAGACACUCUAGUUACAAGUGACCUAAGAGGAGCAUGUGUUUUGAGCAGGCAAGAGGAAUAAUUUGAACUUCUCUAUCUUCACAAAUGUUCUCACAAAUUAACAAAGCCACAGCGUUAAUGGGAAGGCUGUACAACGUGUUUCAACACUGAGUAGUUUCAGUACUGUCUCUGUCAUAUGACACGCAUUUCCUCUUGUAUAGCACUACACAAAAACGGGAUCAGGAGAGAACAAGCCAGAAAAAGAAUUUGCUGUCGGUGCCACAAGCAUUACUUUCCCCCAACAAAACCAGAACUUCGGCAAUCAUUGUAACAUGUCAAAGCCACUCCUGAGAGCUGGUGUCAGAGCCAUACAGGCAAAUUUUGCAAAGGAAAAUUUGAACCUGGCCUAAACAACUUGAAUAUGCUUUUUAAAUAUACAUUGCAAUUCAUCCGAGGGAUGGUCUAGCGAGAGCAAGAAUGACCUAGCUGCUUCAGCACUGGACCUGGCUCUGGAGGGCUGGGUUUAGUUCACAGCUCUGCCACAGGCUAAAAUAUUGGACAUGAUGUGUGCCCUCUUUUUCCUUCUGUAACAAGAGAUUAUUACUGCAGUACUUCACACUGGUGAGAAAAGACAGAAUUCAUUAACCUCUGAGUGUUCUCAGAUACUCUGAUCACAAAGGUCACAUAUAAAUUACAGUAUAAAUGUAACUAGCUAUUUUAGUGGGUUAGUCUAGGAGUUACCACACCAUGAAACAUUCAUAUUAAAAUGAGCAGCUAGCAGUAGAUCUGGUAUUAGUACCGAAACUAAAACACACCCCCCCCCCACAAGCUCCUUCAUUUAACAUUUGCUUGUGUGUAUUUGUUUACAUCAAAGAUGCGUUGUAGUUUUAAGUCGUGAUCCAUAGUUCUCUAUGAUCACAAUUUAUUGUGAUUUUAAUCACACCCAGUUUCUGCAGAGAUUUUGCUACCUGUCAACACACACAACAGAAAAGUGCUUUUGAAACCGCACGCCAAGUUUGCAGUUGUCAGAAACCAGCCUACCUGCUGAAGUGGGAAGUGUACCGUGUUACCUUACGGGGGGCAUUUGUCCCCCUGGAAGUACACAGAGAUACUGGUCCACAGAUCCCUCUAGCAACAGUUUUGCAGCGGUUCCCUCUACGCAGGCAUUUAAGCAGACUAGCUCGGGGCAAAUGUCAGUACUGACUCAGGCUCAAGUGUUUCAAACACUAAAAGGUGAACCUACCUUUUCCACGCCAGCAUAGUUUCUCUCCACUCUCCCUUCUCUUUAAAUACGGAAUGUUGAAAUCCAAAACUCUUAAUCUAAUUAAAUCUUGAACUGUGGUUAGCUCAUUUCUAUCUCUGCUUUACAUUUUAUAGUUAGGCAAUUUCUGUGAAUGGGUCAAAUCAAACUCUGAAGCAGCAUGCGGUGUGUCCAAACAUGAAACAGAAUUAUCUCCAUUUUGAUUUCAAGUACCGCAGAGAGAGAAAAGGCAAGGAAAGUGCUAGCAUUAAAGAAUGCUUUUUUAAACAUUUUUUAUUGCAAUAAUGAUUUUUUUUUUCUCCCAGUAAUGACCUUCCUUCCAGUUCUGUCUUUUUUCUGUGCUGUUGUUUGAAAAAAGUCAGAAUGAGCCCCUAAACAAAAAAAAUAAAUCAAGAAAACACAGAUUUCUGGAAGGAUGGUCCUCGACCUGUUCCUGCUGAUUGCUCUGCCUUGUGCCCAGAGCAGUGGCUAUUACAACCUUCAACUGCCUGCAGAAGUUUACACUGAAUCAAACAUAAUAAUAUACUUUUUGCAUAGAACUAUCAUCCUUCACUGAAGAAAAACAUAGUAGCGCUCCCCAAAGUCUGGAGAAGUUCUACGACUUUCUGAGCACUGCAUGAAAAAUCUGAAAAGAUUUACAAGGGAAAAUUUUAUUUCUGUCUGCAGAGCUGUAAAAGGCAUACAUGUUCAAUUUCACACACAUCUGCACUCCCUCGGGUUAAACGCCUCCAUGUUCUUGUCCUGAUCUCAUGACAACCACUAGCCACUCUCCUCAUGAAGUUCCAUGUGACGUGCAGUACGUUUAGCCACAUUUGUUUUUUUCCAGUAGAUGAUUUUCCAAUUAAAGCAGAUUAAGUCUCUAACCUGACCUCAUUGUUGCCAUUUCUUGUGAUUUUUAAUGUCUUGCAAUUUUACUUUCUCACUGAAAGCACCAUCCAUGGGAUCGCACAUCAUGGGCUUGCAGAGCAAUUCCAUUUUUAUUAAAAAGAAAAUCUUUGAAGAUAUCAUGCAAAGAUUGAAAUGAUGAAUGUGAAAAGCUAAACGUCCCUACAGUUACUGUUUCCUAAAGCCUCAUGAGCUUUUCAUGCUUCAAUCAUGAUGAUAAUGAUUAUUUAAUGCUUGGAAGAGGGUGAUGAAGACAUCAAGCCAGACCCUAGUUCUAAGGAUUUCUAUAUCCAAAACACAGAAGGGAAGUACUUUUCUACCUGGUUUUUAAACUGGUUUUGGUGUAUUUUGGGGUGGGGAAGUAUUUUUAACCAAAACUCUUCCGCUCUAACUAUUCAACUAACAAUUUAACGACCAUUCCAUUUCCCAAGGGGAAAAAAAAGACCACAGAGGAAAGAAGGCAAAUUAAAGACUUAUUCUGGCGAUAGGUGCUACAGCAUGAGCACUUGGGGCUAGAAUUCCCUGCCCACGUGUCCCAGCGCAGUUGCUCAGCCAUUGGUUCGCCUGUUCUCCCGAAUUGGGGAAGAGUUAGAGAAUGAAACACAGUUGCUGCCAAAGGCACAGCGAGCAGCACCUUGCAAUCGUAUAGAAUGGUUGUGAUUGACUUCAAUAGCAGCAGCAAACGCAUCCAUAGUACUUAACUGUGCAAUACGUACCUCAUGGCAGUGAAAACAGCACAUAGAAUUCAAUGAGUUCAAUGGGAAGAACAAAAAAACACAUGUAAAAGAGAUUUGACCAAAAGUUUCUCACUGGUCUCGCUCUAAAGCACUUUUUAAUCUCAAAUAAGUAACCACUAUCCACCUGCUUACAACUAAAAUUCUCAGUGAUACACAGACCGCAGACUAGAAGUUGCCAAGGGAACUGCAUUCACUUCUGAUGCUACGUGUUGAUUAUUGCAAUCUGCUUAUUUUUCUCCACCCACAUAUACCUUAAAAUUAGUAUUGCCCUUCAUGGUCUAAUUACCACGGUGGCAUUGCUGUUCAGGACAUGCAAAUGAACUUGCUAACUAAAUCGAAGCUUAAGCCGCUCUCAUUUUCAAAGCAAGACAUCAAAAAAAAUCUUCAGAAUUACUUUGUUGGUAGGUUACUUCAAAUUCCUUUUUUUUCCACACUGAUAGCAAAAAUAUUCAAUGGCAGCUCUAGCUGAGAUGCAUAAAUACAGCAUUCCUUGCCUGUGCUUGCUCUGCAAAACUGAAAGUAUAGAAGGAAACAUUUUGAAAGCUAUUCCCCUUGCUGUUUUCCCAACUCAUGAGUCUCAACAUAUUGGGUACUGGCUACACCAUCCCAGUCCCUUUAAAUUCAGUGGGAGAUCUUAUUAUAUUGACCUCAGUAAAGCUGGGAUUUCAACUGCAUGUUAGGGAGGUCACCAGCUCCCUCUUUAAAGUCAACCAGAGCUGGAUUAUGUUGUCCCUGCACGGUCGAACUGGUGAGAUGCCUUCAGUCUGUGCUAGCCGGAGUGACAGCUUAUGCUUUUGGCCAGGUCUCCAGGCUACACAAAUUACAACUGCUCCCGAGUUCGUACAUGGACAGCUUUUGAAUCUGGAGUUUUACUGAAUAUUAUGAAAAGAUUUCAAGAUUUAAUCUUAGUCCAGAUUUAUUUUCCUGCCCAGCUUGGUCAUAGGACUGUGCAUCAUUUGCAGAGAGAUUCAAAGCGAUGACAUUCAGAUGAGAUAGUCAAAUGAGCUAGCACAGCUGAGAGUGAUUAUUUUUCCCAUUAGUGUAGUAGUCAGAAUAGUUUUGUUGAUGCCUAUGUGCGUUUUCAUUUCUCCACUUGUUUUCCAAACGAUACAAGAAACAUACCACAUGACAGAAUGAUGGAGGAAAUUAAAUUAAUAGAAAAUGAGAAGCAUGAGCUAUUUUACCACAAGGAGGAGACCAGCUUGCAUUUAUCUUAACUACAACUUAGAGAGUUUUAAAUAUACAAAAUCCUCCCCCCCCAGCUCAAAAAAUCAAUAGUGGCCCAGAAAUAAGUCCAGGGUAACCUGUCUGAAAGGCACUCUAAAUAUACUCAAAAGCAAGAUAGAGGACACAAAAUGAAAGGCCGUGGGAGCAGGGGCUGACAGGACUUGGGUACAUUUGGGACCUCCUCCUCUUUGCAUUUUAAAGCAGAAAGAUACAGAGAUACCCACCUGUGUCCGUAAGAACACAAGUCUGUGUCUCGCCUUCACCAGGGCGCAUGGCAGCCGUCCCCCUGGCUUUACUGGAACAGGACAAACGAGAUGCAAGGAAAGUACUUUUUUCUGAUGGGCUGCUGGUGGGAAAAGGAUCCACACUGCUGAGAAUGUGUUGUACGUCUGAUAAUAGUGAUCAGUAGCUGUUGAGAGCACUCAGAGAAACAGCUUAAACCCAGUCUCACGCUGGCGCAGUAUGCAGCCAGACAAACAGCAUGCCUGCCCACCUCCAAAACCAGUGCGUGCACACACAGGUAGAUCGGGGGGGGGGGGGG